rnacentral:tRNA from 1 species
GGCGCGUUCGUCUAGGGGCCUAGGACGCCGGCCUCUCACGCCGGUAACGCGGGUUCGAAUCCCGCACGCGCUACCA